CCUACGGGAGGCAGCAGUGAGGAAUAUUGGUCAAUGGGCGCGAGCCUGAACCAGCCAAGUAGCGUGAAGGAUGACUGCCCUACGGGUUGUAAACUUCUUUUAUAAAGGAAUAAAGUGAGUCACGUGUGCCUUUUUGUAUUUACUUUAUGAAUAAGGAUCGGCUAACUUCGUGCCAUCAGCCGCGGUCAUACGGAGGAUCCGAGCGUUAUCCGGAUUUAUUGUGUUUAAAGGGAGCGUAGAUGGGUUGUUAAGUCAGUUGUGAAAGUUUGCGGCUCAACCGUAAAAUUGCAAUUGAUACUGGCAGUCUUGAGUACAGUUGAGGUAGGCGGAAUUCGUGGUGUAGCGGUGAAAUGCGUAGAUAUCACGAAGAACUCCGAUUGCGAAGGCAGCUUACUAAACUGCCACUGACAUUGAUGCUCGAAAGUGUGGGUAUCAAACAGGAUUAGAUACCCGGGUAGUC
rnacentral:rRNA from 1 species